rnacentral:rRNA from 1 species
GACGAACGCUGGCGGCGUGCUUAACACAUGCAAGUCGAACGCGAAAGCCCUUCGGGGCGAGUAGAGUGGCGAACGGGUGAGUAACACGUGGGCAACCUGCCCCAGGGAGCGGGACAACCCGGGGAAACUCGGGCUAAUACCGCAUGAUUCGCCGGCACUCAAGCGCCGGCGGCAAAUGGUAGCUUCGGCCUCCGCCUUGGGAUGGGCCCGCGGCGCAUUAGCUUGUUGGUGAGGUAACGGCUCACCAAGGCGACGAUGCGUAGCUGGUCUGAGAGGACGAUCAGCCACACGGGGACUGGGACACGGCCCAGACUCCUACGGGAGGCAGAAGUGGGGAAUCUUGCGCAGUGGGCGGAAGCCUGACGCAGCAACGCCGCGUGUGGGAAGACGGCCUUCGGGUUGUAAACCACUUUCAGGGGGGACGAAGCUUCCAGGGUUAAUAGCCCAUGGGGUGACGGUACCCCCAGAAGAAGCCCCGGCUAACUACGUGCCAGCAGCCGCAGUAAGAC